UACAGAGGUCUCAAGCGUUGUUCGGAUUCAUUGGGCGUAAAGGGUGCGUAGGUGGCGCCGUAAGUCAGGUGUGAAAUCUCGGGGCUCAACCCCGAAACUGCACUUGAUACUGCGAUGCUCGAGUACUGGAGAGGAGAUUGGAAUUUACGGUGUAGCAGUGAAAUGCGUAGAUAUCGUAAGGAAGACCAGUGGCGAAGGCGGGUCUCUGGACAGUUCCUGACGCUGAGGCACGAAGGCCAGGGGAGCAAACGGG
rnacentral:rRNA from 1 species